UUGCCAGACUCCUACGGGAGGCAGCAGUGAGGAAUAUUGGUCAAUGGGCUUACGCCUGAACCAGCCAAGUCGCGUGAGGGAAGACUGCCCUAUGGGUUGUAAACCUCUUUUGUCAGGGAGCAACGCCGGCUACGUGUAGCCGGACUGAGAGUACCUGAAGAAAAAGCAUCGGCUAACUCCGUGCCAGCAGCCGCGGUAAUACGGAGGAUCCAAGCGUUAUCCGGAUUUAUUGGGUUUAAAGGGUGCGUAGGCGGUUUGAUAAGUUAGAGGUGAAAUACCGGUGCUCAACACCGGAACUGCCUCUAAUACUGUUGAACUAGAGAGUAGUUGCGGUAGGCGGAAUGUAUGGUGUAGCGGUGAAAUGCUUAGAGAUCAUACAGAACACCGAUUGCGAAGGCAGCUUACCAAACUAUAUCUGACGUUGAGGCACGAAAGCGUGGGUAGCAAACAGGAUUAGAUACCCCCGUAA
rnacentral:rRNA from 1 species